GAGUUUGAUCAUGGCUCAGGGUGAACGCUGGCGAUGUGCCUAAGACAUGCAAGUCGAGCGGGACUUGUUUUCUACACUAAGGAACUCCUUCCAAUGUAGGGGUUCUUUAAUGUAGAUUUCAAGUUCAGCGGCGAACGGGUGAGUAAUAAGUACGAACGUACUCCAAAGAGGGACAUAGCCCCGCGAAAGCGGGGGUAAUCUCCCAUAUUCCCGCAAGGGGAAAGACGCAAGUCGCUUUGGAAGCGGCGUGCUCGCUACCAGCUUGUUGGUGAGGUAAAAGCUCACCAAGGCUAUGACGGCUACCGGCUCUUAGCGGAGGGUCCGGCACAAUGGGACUGAGACACGGCCCAUACACCUACGGGUGGCAGCAGUUAGGAAUCUUGCGCAAUGGACGAAAGUCUGACGCAGCGACAUCGCGUGUGGGAUGACGGCCUUCGGGUUGUAAACCACUUUUUUUUGACCCUAAAGUCAGAAGAAUAAGCAACUACUAACUACGUGCCAGCAGCCGCGGUA
rnacentral:rRNA from 1 species